rnacentral:lncRNA from 1 species
UGGGACCUCCCUGGGAAGUCCCGGAUCCAGAGCCGGGACAUGGAAUGGUACUUCUUCAGCGCUCUGGACAAGAAGUACGCCAAUCGCUCCCGCACCAACCGAGCGACGGGAUCGGGCUACUGGAAGACCACCGGCAAGGACCGCCCCGUCUUCCGCGGGGGCCGCCCCACCGGGAUGAAGAAGACGCUGGUCUUCCACAUCGGCCGCGCUCCCAAGGGCGAGCGCACCAACUGGGU